GACGAACGCUGGCGGCGCGCUUAACACAUGCAAGUCGAACGGUGAAGCGCCUUCCUUUUUGGUGGUUGUGGAUGAGUGGCGAACGGGUGAGUAACACGUGAGUAACCUGCCCCCUUCUUCUGGAUAACCGCAUGAAAGUGUGGCUAAUACGUGAUAUUCUGGGUCUGUCGCAUGAUGGGUCUGGGAAAGAUAUUGUUUCGGUGGGGGAUGGGCUCGCGGCCUAUCAGCUUGUUGGUGGGGUGAUGGCCUACCAAGGCGGUGACGGGUAGCCGGCCUGAGAGGGUGGACGGUCACACUGGGACUGAGACACGGCCAAGACGUCUACGGGAGCCCGCAGUGGCGAAUAUUGCACGAUGGGCGCGAGCCUAAUGCAGCGACGCCGCGUGAGCGAUAGAGGCCUUCGGGUUGUGAACAUCUUUCGCCAGUGAAGCAGGCCUGCCUCGUUUGUGGAUGGGUUGAGGGUAGCUGGUUGAGAGGCGCGGGCUAAAUACGUG
rnacentral:rRNA from 1 species